CUAUUGUGGUGAUGUCAUCAUGUUAGCAUUUGUGAUUGGAAAUAUAAUUCAAAUCAAUCUUCAGUGCAUAAACCCUGGGCUAGAUGUAACUGAAACUUCAUAUUACUUGUUGGUUCAUGAAAUAGUACUAGUGCUUUGUUUUGGAGAAUGCAAUGCAAACAUUUAUGUUUAUUAGAACUGUACCUUGCAUGAAAUUGCUAUCCCUACUGAAAAUCAUGCCACUACACGUCUCUUUCAAGGUUGAGUUUGAUAGUAAUGUUAGUUUGCUGUUCCAUUUCAUGGUAAUUAAAUUUAUUACCACAUCAUAAAGUUCUUUGGUUCUGGAAUAACUAUAGAACAUAUGUUUUACUGUGGGUUGCUCAAUGCUUUGUCUUGGUGAUCUCUGUUUUUUCUUGCACAGGAUGACUUAAUAAUGGAAUUGCAUUUUAUCCAUCCUUGGAUCUAAUUGUCAUUGUUUUCCUUGGAUUUCACAGAUGAGUACAUCCACAACGGUGCAUCAUACAGCUCCACACAUUCCUUUUAAAUCUUCAAAGGAGUGGAAUGCAGCUCAAGCCCAGCUUAAUGGAACAGUUCAUUGUGAUUAUCCUAGUUGAUAAUUAGUCUCUUCUGCUCUGAUCAUGGUUGAGGUCCUCUGUCAUGAUCUCAAUAUCCAUAUCCCCCACCAUAUUUCUACAAGGAUACCGGGCAGCUCAUAAAUCUAUUGAAGACAAUUGGGAAAAGUAUCUAAAUGAGGCUACAUGGAAAUGGCGUUUAAUGAAGACAAUAAUGACAAUGUGCCAUGUUUACGACAAGGAGGAAAAUUACAUUGCUUUUGACAAGCUUGCCCCUGAAGAAUCCCAACCAAUUACAUACCUGAAAAGGGUGAUGCGUGAUUAUGCUUGAAAUUUUGUGACUUAUUGGGUCCACUGCAUUUUGGUUCCUACUUAUCUCUUACCCUGGGUCAAAUUACGUAUGCAGUUGCAAUUCUUU